rnacentral:rRNA from 1 species
CAGUAGCCGCGGUAAUACAGAGGGUGCGAGCGUUAAUCGGAUUUACUGGGCGUAAAGCGUGCGUAGGCGGCUUUUUAAGUCGGAUGUGAAAUCCCUGAGCUUAACUUAGGAAUUGCAUUCGAUACUGGGAAGCUAGAGUAUGGGAGAGGAUGGUAGAAUUCCAGGUGUAGCGGUGAAAUGCGUAGAGAUCUGGAGGAAUACCGAUGGCGAAGGCAGCCAUCUGGCCUAAUACUGACGCUGAGGUACGAAAGCAUGGGGAGCAAACAGGAUUAGAUACUCCGGUAGUCCCUGUCUCUUAUAC